rnacentral:rRNA from 1 species
GAUGAACGCUGGCGGCGUGCCUAAUACAUGCAAGUCGAGCGAACAGACGAGGAGCUUGCUCCUCUGAUGUUAGCGGCGGACGGGUGAGUAACACGUGGAUAACCUACCUAUAAGACUGGGAUAACUUCGGGAAACCGGAGCUAAUACCGGAUAACAUGUUGAACCGCAUGGUUCAACAGUGAAAGACGGUCUUGCUGUCACUUAUAGAUGGAUCCGCGCCGCAUUAGCUAGUUGGUAAGGUAACGGCUUACCAAGGCAACGAUGCGUAGCCGACCUGAGAGGGUGAUCGGCCACACUGGAACUGGGACACGGUCCAGACUCCUACGGGAGGCAGCAGUAGGGAAUCUUCCGCAAUGGGCGAAAGCCUGACGGAGCAACGCCGCGUGAGUGAAGAAGGUCUUCGGAUCGUAAAACUCUGUUAUUAGGGAAGAACAAAUGUGUAAGUAACUAUGCACGUCUUGACGGUACCUAAUCAGAAAGCCACGGCUAACUACGUG